rnacentral:rRNA from 1 species
CCUACGGGAGGCAGCAGUGAGGAAUAUUGGUCAAUGGACGAGAGUCUGAACCAGCCAAGUAGCGUGAAGGAUGACUGCCCUAUGGGUUGUAAACUUCUGUUAUAAAGGAAUAAAACGAGGCACGUGUGCCGUUUUGCAUGUACUUUAUGAAUAAGGAUCGGCUAACUCCGUGCCAGCAGCCGCGGUAAUACGGAGGAUCCGAGCGUUCUCCGGAUUUAUUGGGUUUCAAGGGAGCGUAGAUGGGUUGUUAAGGCCGUUGUGAAAGUUUGCGGCUCAACCGUAAAAUUGCAAUUGAUACUUGCAGUCUUGAGUACAGUUGAGGUCGGCGGAAUUCGUGGUGUAGCGGUGAAAUGCUUAGAUCUCACGAAGAACCCCGAUUGCGAAGGCAGCUUCCUAAACUGUGACUGACAUUGCUGCUCGCAAGUGUGGGUAUCAAACAGGAUUAGAUACCCCAGUAGUC